GAUCUCCUACGGGGCGCAGCAGUGGGGGAUAUUGCGCAAUGGGCGAAAGCCUGACGCAGCGACGCCGCGUGAGGGAUGAAGGUUUUCGGAUCGUAAACCUCUGUCAGAAGGGAAGAAAGUGCGUGGUGCUAAUCAGCCGCGUAUUGACGGUACCUUCAAAGGAAGCACCGGCUAACUCCGUGCCAGCAGCCGCGGUAAUACGGAGGGUGCGAGCGUUAAUCGGAAUUACUGGGCGUAAAGCGCACGUAGGCUGUUGUGUAAGUCAUGGGUGAAUACCCACGGCGCAACCGUGGAACUGCCCUUGA
rnacentral:rRNA from 1 species